GUGCCAGCAGCCGCGGUAAUACGUAGGGGGCAAGCGUUGUCCGGAAUGAUUGGGCGUAAAGGGCGCGUAGGCGGCCCGGUAAGUCUGAAGUGAAAGUCCUGGUUUUAAGCUGGGAAUUGCUUUGGAUACUGUCGGGCUUGAGUGCAGGAGAGGUAAGUGGAAUUCCCAGUGUAGCGGUGAAAUGCGUAGAGAUUGGGAGGAACACCAGUGGCGAAGGCGACUUACUGGACUGUAACUGACGCUGAGGCGCGAAAGUGUGGGGAGCAAACAGGAUUAGAUACCCUGGUAGUCCACACUGUAAACGAUGAAUGCUAGGUGUAGGGGGUAUCGACCCCUUCUGUGCCGCAGUUAACACAAUAAGCAUUCCGCCUGGGGAGUACGGCCGCAAGGUUGAAACUCAAAGGGAUUGACGGGGGCCCGCACAAGCAGCGGAGCAUGUGGAUUAAUUCGACGCAACGCGAAGAACCUUACCAGGUCUUGACAUCCAGUAAAACUUGUAGAGAUACAUCGUGUCUUCGGACGUACUGAGACAGGUGGUGCAUGGUUGUCGUCAGCUCGUGUCGUGAGAUGUUGGGUUAAGUCCCGCAACGAGCGCAACCCUUAUUUUCAGUUACUAACACGCAGUGGUGAGGACUCUGAAGAGACUGCCGGGGACAACUCGGAGGAAGGUGGGGACGACGUCAAAUCAUCAUGCCCCUUAUGACCUGGGCUUCACACGUGCUACAAUGGCCACCACAGAGAGGAGCGAACCUGCAAGGGGGAGCGGAUCUCAAAAAAGUGGUCCCAGUUCGGAUUGUGGGCUGCAACCCGCCCACAUGAAGUCGGAGUUGCUAGUAAUCGCGGAUCAGCAUGCCGCGGUGAAUACGUUCCCGGGCCUUGUACACACCGCCCGU
rnacentral:rRNA from 1 species